CGGGGGUAGAUCUAUCUCAUGACGAGUGGUGGAAUACUUUGACUCAUGAGAGAGAAGCUGAGGCGAAGGCGUCUACCUAGAGGGUUUCUGUCGAUCAAGGGCGAGAGUAGGAGUAUCCAACAGGAUUAGAGACCCUGGUAGUUCCUACCUUAAACGAUGCCGACAGGAGUUUGUCAUUUGUUAAUGGCAGAAUCUUUGGAGAAAUCAUAGUUCUUGGGCUCUGGGGGAACUACGACCGCAAGGCUGAAACUUGAAGGAAUUGACGGAAGGGCACACCAGGGGUGGAGCCUGUGGCUUAAUUUGAAUCAACACGGGGAAACUUACCAGGACCAGAUGUUUUUUAUGACUGACAGGCUUCGGGUCUUUCAGGAUAUUGUUUUUGGUGGUGCAUGGCCGUUGGUGGUGCGUGGGUUGACCUGUCUAGCGUUGAUUCAGCUAACGAGCGAGAUUAUCGCCAAUUAUUUACUUUGCCGAAGUCCUUCGGUUAAAGUUCUAAUUGGGACUCCCUGCGAUUUUAGCAGGUGGAAGAGGGUAGCAAUAACAGGUCCGUGAUGCCCUUUAGAUGCUCUGGGCUGCACGCGUGCUACAAUGUUAGGAUCAAUAGGACUGCGAGCCUGAGAGGGUGCGCUACUCUUAUAAUCCCUAACGUAGUUGGGAUUGACGUUUGUAAUCAGCGUCAUGAACCAGGAAUCCCUUGUAAAUGUGUGUCAACAACGCACGUUGAAUACGUCCCUGCCCUUUGUACACACCGCCCGUCGCUCCUACCGAUUGGAUGACUCGGUGAAAUCACCGGAUGCUUACGAGCAGAAAGUGAUUAAAUCACGUUAUCUAGAGGAAGGAGAAGUCGUAACAGGUAACGGUAGGUGAACCUGCCGUUGGAUC
rnacentral:rRNA from 1 species